rnacentral:rRNA from 1 species
GUGUGCGAUCAUACCAGUACUAAUGCACCGGAUACCAUUAGAACUCCGAAGUUAAACGUGCUUGGGCGAGAGUAGUACUAAGAUGGGUGACCUCUUGGGAAGUCCUCGUGUUGCACCCC